UACAGAGGGUGCGAGCGUUGUCCGGAAUUACUGGGCGUAAAGGGCGCGUAGGCGGUUCGGUAAGUAGGAGGUGAAAUUUCGGGGCUCAACCCUGAAACUGCCUUCUAAACUGCCGAACUGGAGCACGGUAGAGGCAGAUGGAAUUCCUGGUGUAGCGGUGGAAUGCGUAGAGAUCGGGAAGAACACCAGUGGCGAAGGCGGCCACCUGGACGGUGACUGACGCUGAGACGCGAAAGCGUGGGGAGCAAACAGG
rnacentral:rRNA from 1 species